GGGCCACCCUGUGACAGCUCGGCAGCUGAAGGCACCCGGAACUCAGCCAGAUGUGCUGUUAGCUGACCUUCAGCACUGCAGAUCGUCAACCCCUGGCACGUGCUGAUCUGUGCCCAGGAGCAGCCCCCACCAAGCAGGUAGGGGCCUCCUUGUGAGUGGCCUGCUCUCCUCCCGCCCAGCACCCUGCACCACCCCAACCUGUUGCUGCUGAUGGCACUGAGCCCCUCGGCCGACCUGUCGGGGCUGUGCCUUCUCUUCGAACCCGUGUGGCUGGGCUCCCUGCAUGUGGUGCUGCACCCACGCGGGCCGAGGCCGGCAGGACCCUGCACUGUGCCGGGCCUGCUGCCCGGCCACCUGCUGCUGCAGGUGCUGGAGGCCCUGCUGUUCCUGCAGGCCCGCUGGUGCGCUCAUGGCGGCCUUAGCUCUCAUGCGGUGCAGCUGGUGCGGCCAGGCCUGGCCAAGGUGGGCAGCCUGGAGCACGGCCGCCCCCUGCACCGACGCUGGCUGCAGCCCAGGCCACAGCAGGGCUGCUCCCGGGGAGGCCCAGGCCCGGGGCUGCCCCCGCCUCCUGAACUGUACCCAUGGCUGCCACUUGAGCUCAUCUGCGGGGACAUGCCUGCUGCCACCUCAGAUCUCUACAGCUUUUGCAUCCUGGCCCAGGAGGUGUUCACCGGAGAGCUGCCCUGGGCUGGGAGAAAGGGGCCUGAGGUGAAGGCUAAAUUGGAGGCAGGUGAGAGCCCGGCCCUGGAUCCCCUGGUGCCUGCCCCCUACCAGGCCCUGGUUCAGGCUGGGCUGGGCCUAGGGCCCGCCGACCGCUGGGGCAGCCUGCAGAACACUCGAUACCUGCUGCGGGAGGCCAUGGCCCAGGACCCAGCUCCUGAGGUGAGCUCCCCGAUGCACUGGAGUGCACAGUGCCCCGUGUCUCAGGGUUUCCUACCAGAGACACUGUACUGUGAGGUGGCUCCCAGAGCCAAGUCUGCACUCAGGCCUGUGCCCCCUGUGAUGUCCCUAGGCCCUUCCCCAUGCCAGGCCCUGAAGACUCUCGAGGUCACAGGCCACAGCAGAGUCCAGAGGGCCACAGCCUGGGACUCCGGCAGCAGCUUGACUCUAGGCAGCAGACCGAGUCCCGGCCCCAGCCUCUACCCAGGCUCCAGCCCCGCAGACCGGGUCGGCCUGCACCGCUGCCUGGAGCCCAGCUCGACAGGCCCUGCCCUGCACAACAGACUUCAGGACUCAGCCUCCCUGCUGGGGAUCCAGGGUUCUGUGGAGCAGUUGGAGAGGAGCUCAGCCAAGAUGCCAGCCCUGCAGGGGCUGCAGCAGCACACACACGGCCGCCCUGCUGGACCCCCCACCCUCUGAGCCCACCCCCUGCCUGCUGACCCACAGCGAGGCCUCUCACACCCUGGAGGCUGCUGGCAGGGAAGGCCACGAGGGAGCCCAGUCCCGAGCUGAUCAGAGGAGGUCUCUUCUCCAGCCUGCAGAAGAUGGACCUGCUGGAGGAGAUCAUAGCAGAGCUGCAAGGUGGACAACUCGGAGACAAGUCCAGCCUCGACGCAGCUCCUGACACCGAUCCUUAGAGUACCCGUGACUGCCUCUCUGCAGACACCGCCCCUCAGAGCCUCCCAGCAGUGACUUCCCACGCAGCACUUGCUGAAAUGAUAAAGUGAUAAAGUA